CAGCAGCCGCGGUAAUACAGAGGGUGCGAGCGUUAAUCGGAUUUACUGGGCGUAAAGCGUGCGUAGGCGGCUUCUUAAGUCGGAUGUGAAAUCCCUGAGCUUAACUUAGGAAUUGCAUUCGAUACUGGGAAGCUAGAGUAUGGGAGAGGAUGGUAGAAUUCCAGGUGUAGCGGUGAAAUGCGUAGAGAUCUGGAGGAAUACCGAUGGCGAAGGCAGCCAUCUGGCCUAAUACUGACGCUGAGGUACGAAAGCAUGGGGAGCAAACAGGAUUAGAUACCCCGUAGUCCCUGUCUCUUAUACC
rnacentral:rRNA from 1 species